GUGGGGAAUCUUAGACAAUGGGGGAAACCCUGAUCUAGCCAUGCCGCGUGAUCGAUGAAGGCCUUAGGGUUGUAAAGAUCUUUCAGCUGGGAAGAUAAUGACGGUACCAGCAGAAGAAGCCCCGGCUAACUCCGUGCCAGCAGCCGCGGUAAUACGGAGGGGGCUAGCGUUGUUCGGAAUUACUGGGCGUAAAGCGCACGUAGGCGGAUUGGAAAGUUGGGGGUGAAAUCCCGGGGCUCAACCCCGGAACUGCCUUCAAAACUCCCAGUCUUGAGGUCGAGAGAGGUGAGUGGAAUUCCGAGUGUAGAGGUGAAAUUCGUAGAUAUUCGGAGGAACACCAGUGGCGAAGGCGGCUCACUGGCUCGAUACUGACGCUGAGGUGCGAAAGCGUGGGGAGCAAACAGGAUUAGAUACCCCAGUAGUCC
rnacentral:rRNA from 1 species